CGUGUUAAACAGACGCUGCGUGAACAUACCCUCUUACCUGCGGAAUAGCUCCGGGAAACUGGAAUUAAUACCGCAUACGCCCUACGGGGGAAAGAUUUAUCGGGGAAGGAUUGGCCCGCGUUGGAUUAGCUAGUUGGAGGGGUAAAGGCCUACCAAGGCGACGAUCCAUAGCUGGUCUGACAGGAUGAUCAGCCACAUUGGGACUGAGACACGGGCCACACUCCUACGGGAGGCAGCAGCGGGGAAUAUUGCACAAUGGGCGCAAGCCUGAUCCAGUCAUGCCGCGUGAGUGAUGAAGGCCUUAGGGUUGUAAAGCUCUUUCACCGAUGAAGAUAAUGACGGUAGCUGGAGAAGAAGCCCCGGCUAACUUCGUGCCAACAGCCGCGGUAAUACGAAGGGGGCUAGCGUUGUUCGGAAUUACUGGGCGUAAAGCGCACGUAGGCGGAUAUUUAAGUCAGGGGUGAAAUCCCGCAGCUCAACUGCGGAACUGCCUUUGAUACUGGGUAUCUUGAGUAUGGAAGAGGUAAGUGGAAUUCCGAGUGUAGAGGUGAAAUUCGUAGAUAUUCGGAGGAACACCAGUGGCGAAGGCGGCUUACUGGUCCAUUACUGACGCUGAGGUGCGAAAGCGUGGGGAGCAAACAGGAUUACAUACCCUGGUAGUCCACGCCGUAAACGAUGAAUGUUAGCCGUCGCGCAGUAUACUGUUCGGUGGCGCAGCUAACGCAUUAAACAUUCCGCCUGGGGAGUACGGUCGCAAGAUUAAAACUCAAAGGAAUUGACGAGGGUCCGCACAAGCGGAGGAGCAUGUGGGUUUAAAUUCGAAGCAACGCGUAGAAGCCGUGACCAGCUCUUGACAUGCGGGAUAUGGUCAUUUGUAGACGAUGUCCUUCAAGUCAUGCCUGGACUCCUAUGAAACAAGGUGGCCUGACAAUUG
rnacentral:rRNA from 1 species